UACGUAGGGACCGAGCGUUGUCCGGAUUCAUUGGGCGUAAAGAGCUCGUAGGCGGCCACUCAAGUCGAAUGUGAAACCUCGAGGCUUAACCUCGAGCCUGCAUUCGAUACUGGGCGGCUAGAGUCUGGUAGGGGGAUCUGGAAUUCCUGGUGUAGCGGUGAAAUGCGCAGAUAUCAGGAGGAACACCGGUGGCGAAGGCGGAUCUCUGGGCCAUUACUGACGCUGAGGAGCGAAAGCGUGGGGAGCGAACGG
rnacentral:rRNA from 1 species